rnacentral:tRNA from 1 species
AAAUAAGAAGCAAUCUGCAUAUUAGUUUCGACCUAAUACUUUGGUAUAUAAAUACCCUUAUUUU